AGAGGAUACAGACAGCUGAUGCAGGGACACCAAACUUCAGACUUCUGACUGCCAACCAAGCUAUCUGUGAAGGGCAUGUCUACCACAGGGACACCCAGAACCACCUCUGGAUGCUUGGCCAGACUCUCGCUCUUUCUUCCCUGGAUCCCUUCUCUCUAGACAGAUGUGUUCCCAAGAGAUUUCCCCAGCGAGUCCUGUCUGCCUCAUUGACUCUCUUCUUAGCAUCUGGCCUGAGAUGCAAAAGCAGACUCUCAUGGAAAACAUUCUAAGCUGAAGACUGGUCCCCGAGCUUCCCUUGAUGAGAAUUGUUAAGUCAAGGGCUGUACCAUUGAAAAUUAGUACCUUGAGUCCUGGACUGAAAACAUCUAGAUUCAACAGCUGAAGCCCUCUGUGUGAAGAUGAUACGCAGGCUCUUCCACACAGGACAACACACCACCCGAGACCAUGUUCUCAUGAUUUCUUAGCCACCCAUAAUGCAGGCAGAGAAGAGUCUGGUCUGCUAAGGGUAGAAAGAGGCUUCAUUGUGAAGGAUCUGAAGGGCUUGGGCAAUGAAUGAACAGAAAGAACCAUGUGCUGGAUAAAGUUGGUCAAUGU
rnacentral:lncRNA from 1 species